rnacentral:rRNA from 1 species
GAUCAUGGCUCAGAUUGAACGCUGGCGGCAUGCCUUACACAUGCAAGUCGAACGGCAGCGGGCCUUCGGGUGCCGGCGAGUGGCGAACGGGUGAGUAAUGCAUCGGAACGUGCCAUUGAGUGGGGGAUAACGUAGCGAAAGUUACGCUAAUACCGCAUAUUCUGUGAGCAGGAAAGCAGGGGACCGCAAGGCCUUGCGCUCUUUGAGCGGCCGAUGUCAGAUUAGCUAGUUGGUGAGGUAAAGGCUUACCAAGGCGACGAUCUGUAGCGGGUCUGAGAGGAUGAUCCGCCACACUGGAACUGAGACACGGUCCAGACUCCUACGGGAGGCAGCAGUGGGGAAUUUUGGACAAUGGGCGCAAGCCUGAUCCAGCCAUGCCGCGUGAGUGAAGAAGGCCUUCGGGUUGUAAAGCUCUUUCGGCCGGGAAGAAAUCGCAUGGGUUAAUACCCUGUGUGGAUGACGGUACCGGAAUAAGAAGCACCGGCUAACUACGUG